rnacentral:rRNA from 1 species
UUCCUACGGGAGGCAGCAGUGAGGAAUAUUGGUCAAUGGGCUUACGCCUGAACCAGCCAAGUCGCGUGAGGGAAGACUGCCCUAUGGGUUGUAAACCUCUUUUGUCAGGGAGCAACGCCGGCUACGUGUAGCCGGACUGAGAGUACCUGAAGAAAAAGCAUCGGCUAACUCCGUGCCAGCAGCCGCGGUAAUACGGAGGAUGCGAGCGUUAUCCGGAUUUAUUGGGUUUAAAGGGUGCGCAGGCGGAAGAUCAAGUCAGCGGUAAAAUUGAGAGGCUCAACCUCUUCGAGCCGUUGAAACUGGUU